AUUGAACGCUGGCGGCAGGCCUAACACAUGCAAGUCGAACGAGUGGCGGACGUGUUAGUAAUGUCUGGGAAACUGCCUGGUGGAGGGGGAUAACUACUGGAAACGAUAGCUAAUACCGCCUAGCAUAGGAUCGGCCCAGAUGGGAUUAGCUAGUGGGUGGGGUAACGGCUGACCAAGGCGACGCGCCCUAGCUGGUCUGAGAGGAUGACCAGCCACACUGGAACUGAGACACGGUCCAGACUCCUACGGGAGGCAGCAGUGGGGAAUAUUGGACAAUGGGCGCAAGCCUGAUGCAGCCAUGCCGCGUGUAUGAAGAAGGCCUUCGGGUUGUAAAGUACUUUCAGUGGGGAGGCGUUACCCACAGAAGAAGCACCGGCUAACUCCGUGCCAGCAGCCGCGGUAAUAC
rnacentral:rRNA from 1 species